rnacentral:rRNA from 1 species
AUUGAACGCUGGCGGCAUGCUUUACACAUGCAAGUCGAACGGCAGCGGGGUAGUGCUUGCACUACUGCCGGCGAGUGGCGAACGGGUGAGUAAUAUAUCGGAACGUACCGAGUAAUGGGGGAUAACCAAUCGAAAGAUUGGCUAAUGCCGCAUACGUCCUGAGGGAGAAAGCGGGGGAUCGCAAGACCUCGCGUUAUUCGAGCGGCCGAUAACUGAUUAGCUAGUUGGUGGGGUAAAGGCCUACCAAGGCGACGAUCAGUAGCGGGUCUGAGAGGACGAUCCGCCACACUGGGACUGAGACACGGCCCAGACUCCUACGGGAGGCAGCAGUGGGGAAUUUUGGACAAUGGGGGCAACCCUGAUCCAGCCAUGCCGCGUGUAUGAAGAAGGCCUUCGGGUUGUAAAGUACUUUUGUUAGGGAAGAAAAGGGAAGUGCUAAUACCACUUUUUGCUGACGGUACCUAAAGAAUAAGCACCGGCUAACUACGUG